AUCCGGUGGUUCUGCGUGGAAGGGCCAUCGCUCAACGGAUAAAAGCUACCCUGGGGAUAACAGGCUUAUCUCCCCCAAGAGUCCACAUCGACGGGGAGGUUUGGCACCGCGAUGUCGGCUCAUCACAGCCUGGGGCUGUAGUAGGUCCCAAGGGUUGGGCUGUUCGCCCAUUAAAGUGGUACGCGAGCUGGGUUCAGAACGUCGUGAGACAGUUCGGUCCCUAUCCGUCGCAGGCG
rnacentral:rRNA from 1 species